GGUUAAGCGACUAAGCGUACACGGUGGAUGCCCUGGCAGUCAGAGGCGAUGAAGGACGUGCUAAUCUGCGAUAAGCGUCGGUAAGGUGAUAUGAACCGUUAUAACCGGCGAUUUCCGAAUGGGGAAACCCAGUGUGUUUCGACACACUAUCAUUAACUGAAUCCAUAGGUUAAUGAGGCGAACCGGGGGAACUGAAACAUCUAAGUACCCCGAGGAAAAGAAAUCAACCGAGAUUCCCCCAGUAGCGGCGAGCGAACGGGGAGCAGCCCAGAGCCUGAAUCAGUGUGUGUGUUAGUGGAAGCGUCUGGAAAGGCGCGCGAUACAGGGUGACAGCCCCGUACACAAAAAUGCACAUGCUGUGAGCUCGAUGAGUAGGGCGGGACACGUGGUAUCCUGUCUGAAUAUGGGGGGACCAUCCUCCAAGGCUAAAUACUCCUGACUGACCGAUAGUGAACCAGUACCGUGAGGGAAAGGCGAAAAGAACCCCAGCGAGGGGAGUGAAAAAGAACCUGAAACCGUGUACGUACAAGCAGUGGGAGCACGCUUAGG
rnacentral:rRNA from 1 species